rnacentral:rRNA from 1 species
UGCGAAUUACCAAUUACGGCCCAGAUGUGGAUUUUUUGAAGGUGGAUUUGCAAGUAAUUAUUUUUAUAGUAUUAAUAAAUGAAGGGUGGAAUAACAUGUGUACAUAUUGCCCGUCGCUCUCGUUAUUUUUGAGAUAAGUCGUAACAUACUUGAUGAACUGGAAAGUGUAUCUUUUUGA